GGUAGUGUGGCCGAGUGGUCUAAGGCACUUGGUUUAGGUCUACAGAGGCGUGGGUUCAAAUCCCACCACUGCCA